rnacentral:rRNA from 1 species
UACGUAGGGUGCAAGCGUUAAUCGGAAUUACUGGGCGUAAAGCGUGCGCAGGCGGUGAUGUAAGACAGAUGUGAAAUCCCCGGGCUCAACCUGGGAACUGCAUUUGUGACUGCAUCGCUGGAGUGCGGCAGAGGGGGAUGGAAUUCCGCGUGUAGCAGUGAAAUGCGUAGAUAUGCGGAGGAACACCGAUGGCGAAGGCAGCCCCCUGGGCCAAUACUGACGCUCAGGCACGAAAGCGUGGGGAGCAAACAGG